GACUCUGCCCUUUGGGUAGACCUCCCACCCUGUGUCGUUAUACCUCUGUUGCUUUGGCGGGCCGCGGGGCUCCGGCCCCGCCCCUGGCUCCGGCUAGGGCGCGCCCGCCAGAGGACUACCAAACCUGAAUGUUAGUGUCGUCUGAGUACUAUGUAAUAGUUAAAACUUUCAACAACGGAUCUCUUGGUUCUGGCAUCGAUGAAGAACGCAGCGAAAUGCGAUAAGUAAUGUGAAUUGCAGAAUUCAGUGAAUCAUCGAAUCUUUGAACGCACAUUGCGCCCCUUGGUAUUCCGGGGGGCAUGCCUGUUCGAGCGUCAUUACAACCCUCAAGCUCUGCUUGGUCUUGGGCGUCACCGGUCCCCGGUGUGCCUUAAACUCAGUGGCGGCGCCGUCUGGCUCUAAGCGUAGUACAUACUCUCGCUACAGACGCCCGGCGGAUGCUGGCCAGCAACCCCCAAUCUAUCAAGGUUGACCUCGGAUCAGGUAGGGAUACCCGCUGAACUUAA
rnacentral:rRNA from 1 species